UCCCUGAUGGUCUAGUGGCUCGGAUUUGGUGUUCUCACCGCCAUGGCCCGGGUUUGAUUCCCGGUCAGGGAA